rnacentral:tRNA from 1 species
GGACCUGUAGCGCAGUGGUUGACGCGCCCCCGACCCGUCGGGGGAGGACGCCGGUUCGAAUCCGGCCUGGUCCG